ACUCCUACGGGAGGCAGCAGUAAGGAAUAUUGGUCAAUGGACGCAAGUCUGAACCAGCCAUGCCGCGUGAAGGAUGAAGGCCCUCUGGGUUGUAAACUUCUUUUCUUUGGGAAUAAAAACCGGUAUUCAUACUGGCUUGAAGGUACCAGAGGAAUAAGCACCGGCUAACUCCGUGCCAGCAGCCGCGGUAAUACGGAGGGUGCAAGCGUUAUCCGGAUUCACUGGGUUUAAAGGGUGCGUAGGUGGCUUUGUAAGUCAGUGGUGAAAUCUUAGAGCUUAACUCUAAAACUGCCAUUGAUACUGCUUAGCUUGAAUCAAGUAGAGGUGGAUGGAAUAUUACAUGUAGCGGUGAAAUGCUUAGAUAUGUAAUAGAACACCGAUUGCGAAGGCAGUUCACUAUGCUUGUAUUGACACUGAGGCACGAAAGCGUGGGGAUCAAACAGGAUUAGAUACCCUGGUAGUCCACGCCCUAAACGAUGUAAACUCGACAUUAGCGAUAUACAGUUAGUGUCCAAGCGAAAGCGUUAAGUUUACCACCUGGGAAGUACGUCCGCAAGGAUGAAACUCAAAGGAAUUGACGG
rnacentral:rRNA from 1 species